rnacentral:rRNA from 1 species
UACAGAGGUCUCAAGCGUUGUUCGGAUUCAUUGGGCGUAAAGGGUGUGUAGGUGGCGCCGUAAGUCGGGUGUGAAAUUUCGGAGCUUAACUCCGAAACUGCAUUCGAUACUGCGGUGCUUGAGGACUGGAGAGGAGACUGGAAUUCCUGGUGUAGCGGUGGAAUGCGCAGAUAUCAGGAGGAACACCGGUGGCGAAGGCGGGUCUCUGGGCAGUAACUGACGCUGAGGAGCGAAAGCGUGGGGAGCGAACAGG